GACGAACGCUGGCGGUGUGCUUAACACAUGCAAGUCGAACGAUGAACCCGGAGCUUGCUCCGGUGGAUUAGUGGCGAACGGGUGAGUAACACGUGAGUAACCUGCCCUUGACUCUGGGAUAACUGCGGGAAACUGUAGCUAAUACCGGAUACGACCCUCGGCGGCAUCGCCAGGGGGUGGAAAGAAUUUCGGUCUAGGAUGGACUCGCGGCCUAUCAGCUAGUUGGUGAGGUAACGGCUCACCAAGGCGACGACGGGUAGCCGGCCUGAGCGGGUGACCGGCCACACGGGGACUGAGAGACGGACCAGACUCCUACGGGAGGCAGCAGUGGGGAAUAUUGCACAAUGGGCGCAAGCCUGAUGCAGCAACGCCGCGUGAGGGAUGACGGCCUACGGGGUGUAAAACUCUUUUAGUAGGGAAGAAGCGAAAGUGAAGGUACCUGCAGAAAAAGCACCGGCUAACUACGUGCCAGCAGCCGCAGUAA
rnacentral:rRNA from 1 species